UGACAUUAUUUGCAAUCCCUAGCCAACGU
rnacentral:sRNA from 1 species